rnacentral:rRNA from 3 species
UUUUUAUGGAGAGUUUGAUCCUGGCUCAGGAUGAACGCUGGCGGCGUGCCUAAUACAUGCAAGUCGAGCGAACAGACGAGGAGCUUGCUCCUCUGACGUUAGCGGCGGACGGGUGAGUAACACGUGGAUAACCUACCUAUAAGACUGGGAUAAC